AUUGAACGCUGGCGGCAGGCUUAACACAUGCAAGUCGAGCGGAGCGAGGGUGCUUGCACCUUAGCUUAGCGGCGGACGGGUGAGUAAUGCUUAGGAAUCUGCCUAUUAGUGGGGGACAACAUUCCGAAAGGAAUGCUAAUACCGCAUACGCCCUACGGGGGAAAGCAGGGGAUCUUCGGACCUUGCGCUAAUAGAUGAGCCUAAGUCGGAUUAGCUAGUUGGUGGGGUAAAGGCCUACCAAGGCGACGAUCUGUAGCGGGUCUGAGAGGAUGAUCCGCCACACUGGGACUGAGACACGGCCCAGACUCCUACGGGAGGCAGCAGUGGGGAAUAUUGGACAAUGGGCGGAAGCCUGAUCCAGCCAUGCCGCGUGUGUGAAGAAGGCCUUUUGGUUGUAAAGCACUUUAAGCGAGGAGGAGGCUACUUAGAUUAAUACUCUGGGAUAGUGGACGUUACUCGCAGAAUAAGCACCGGCUAACUCUGUGCCAGCCGCCGCCUGUAAAAC
rnacentral:rRNA from 1 species